CGCUGGGGCAGGCUUACACAUGCAAGUCGAGCGGAACCAUCCUAGCUUGCUAAGAGGCGUCGAGCGGCGGACGGGUGAGUAAUGCAUGGGAAUCUGCCCGAUAGUGGGGGACAAUGGGGAAACUCAGGCUAAUACCGCAUACGUCCUACGGGAAAAAGCAGGGGAUCUUCGGACCUUGCGCUAUCGGAUGAGCCCAUGUCGGAUUAGCUUGUUGGUGAGGUAAUGGCUCACCAAGGCCGCGAUCCGUAGCUGGUCUGAGAGGAUGAUCAGCCACAUCGGGACUGAGACACGGCCCGAACUCCUACGGGAGGCAGCAGUGGGGAAUAUUGGACAAUGGGGGAAACCCUGAUCCAGCCAUGCCGCGUGUGUGAAGAAGGCCCUCGGGUUGUAAAGCACUUUCAGCGAGGAAGAACGCCUAGCGGUUAAUACCCGCUAGGAAAGACAUCACUCGCAGAAGAAGCACCGGCUAACUCCGUGCCAGCAGCCGCGGUAAUACGGAGGGUGCAAGCGUUAAUCGGAAUUACUGGGCGUAAAGCGCGCGUAGGUGGCUUGAUAAGCCGGUUGUGAAAGCCCCGGGCUCAACCUGGGAACGGCAUCCGGAACUGUCAAGCUAGAGUGCAGGAGAGGAAGGUAGAAUUCCCGGUGUAGCGGUGAAAUGCGUAGAGAUCGGGAGGAAUACCAGUGGCGAAGGCGGCCCUUCGUGGACUGACACAUGACACAGUAGGUGCGAAAGCGUGGGUAGCAAACAGGAUUAGAUACCUGGUUGUCCACGCCGUAAACGAUGUCGACCAGCCGUUGGGGCCUAGCCGCCCUUUGUGGCCGAAGUUAA
rnacentral:rRNA from 1 species